rnacentral:sRNA from 1 species
CCCUAGCCCGGAUUGCAGCGGCAUCCUUUUGCGGAAUGCAAUGCAGCAAAAGAUAGAGCGGAAAGCCGGAAACAGC